rnacentral:rRNA from 1 species
GACGAACGCUGGCGGCGUGCUUAACACAUGCAAGUCGUACGAUGACCCGGCUCUUCGGAGCUGGUGAUUAGUGGCGAACGGGUGAGUAACACGUGGGUGACCUGCCCUGCACUUUCGGAUAAGCUCGGGAAACUGGGUCUACUCCUGGAUACGAUCAGUGGUCGCGUGGUCUGCUGGUGGUCAGCCCUUCGGGGUGGUGUGGGUUGGGCCGGCGGCCUAUCAGCGUGUUGGUGGGGUGAUGCCCUACCAAGCCGACGACGGGUAGCCGGCCGGAGAGGGUGUCCGGCGACACUGAGACUGGGACACGACCCCUACGCGUACGAGCAGCAGCAGAGGGUAGACUUGGACAAUGAGCGUAAUCCUGAUGCAGCGAGUCCGCGUAGAAGAUCACGGCGUUCGAGAUGUAAACCUCUUGCGGCAAAGAGCAGGCCUGUGAGUUUUCUUCUGGGUGACGGUACCUGCAGAAGAAGCACCGGCUAACUACGUG